CCAGUGAGGGAAUUAAGGACGGCACUUUGUCCUUGUAACAGGGAUCCAUCAGGCUGGCCACCCAGUAAUCAGCACAAGUUAGAAUGUGGGCAACUCGGCAGUCGUUGCACAGGCACUUUGGUGACUCUAGAUAACCUUGGGCCGAUCGCAUGUCCCCGUGAUGGCGACGACGCAUUCAGAUGUCUGCCCUAUCAACUUUCGAUGGUACUUUCUACGCCUACCUUGGUGACCACGGGUAACGGGGAAUCAAGGUUCGAUUCCA